GAUCCUGGCUCAGGAUGAACGCUGGCGGCGUGCUUAACACAUGCAAGUCGAACGAAGCACCUUGAUUUGAUUCUUCGGAUGAAGAUCUUGGUGACUGAGUGGCGGACGGGUGAGUAACGCGUGGGUAACCUGCCUCAUACAGGGGGGAUAACAGUUAGAAAUGACUGCUAAUACCGCAUAAGACCACAGCACCGCCAUGGUGCNGGGUAAAACGUACCGUCGGUAGUGAGAUGGACGUCCG
rnacentral:rRNA from 1 species